UACGGAGGGUGCAAGCGUUGUUCGGAAUUACUGGGCGUAAAGGGCGCGUAGGCGGCCUAUUAAGUCAGAUGUGAAAGCCCACGGCUUAACCGUGGAAGUGCAUUUGAAACUGGUAGGCUUGAGUAUCAGAGGGGAAAGUGGAAUUCCCGGUGUAGAGGUGAAAUUCGUAGAUAUCGGGAGGAAUACCGGUGGCGAAGGCGACUUUCUGGCUGAAUACUGACGCUGAGGCGCGAAAGCGUGGGGAGCAAACAGG
rnacentral:rRNA from 1 species